rnacentral:rRNA from 1 species
UGCCAGCAGCCGCGGUAAUACGGAGGAUCCAAGCGUUGUCCGGAUUUAUUGGGUUUAAAGGGUGCGUAGGCGGAUUAUUAAGUCAGUGGUGAAAGCCUGCAGCUUAACUGCAGAACUGCCAUUGAAACUGGUAAUCUUGAGUUUGGUCGAGGUAGAUGGAAUGUAUCAUGUAGCGGUGAAAUGCUUAGAUAUGAUACAGAACACCGAUUGCGAAGGCAGUCUACUAGGCCAAUACUGACGCCGAGGCACGAAAGCAUGGGGAUCGAACAGGAUUAGAUA